UACGUAGGGAGCGAGCGUUAAUCGGAAUUACUGGGCGUAAAGCGUGCGCAGGCGGCUUACUAAGACAGGUGUGAAAGCCCCGAGCUUAACUUGGGAAUGGCGCUUGUGACUGGUAGGCUGGAGUGUGGCAGAGGGAGGUGGAAUUCCACGUGUAGCAGUGAAAUGCGUAGAGAUGUGGAGGAACACCGAUGGCGAAGGCAGCCUCCUGGGCCAGCACUGACGCUCAUGCACGAAAGCGUGGGGAGCAAACAGG
rnacentral:rRNA from 1 species